UCGUGCCUUACUAGAGGAAUACUGUUUGGGCCUAAUUUGGCACACCCAGCACAAGGAAACAAAAGCCCAUGUCAAUUUUGGGCAUCCACCAGCGUUCCUUUAAAAAUUGGGCCAAGACACACACUCAGCCCGACAGAUUGGAGGCCCAGAAAGGACGAGGCAAAAUCAGACCCAGGCAGUAUGGACUUAAAUUAUAAUCGAGGGCCCAAAUCCAAAGAAGCCUAGCCUGGGACCUACCAAACCACGAGGAUAACUUGGACUUCGAAGAAACCCAAAUUAGGCAUGGCACGGUGAAGUGAAAAAAGAUAAAACAAAAAAUCAGAGGCAGACCCACGUGACUAUCUAAAAAAAACUUUGAAAAGUCAAUAUUUUCAACUGGGUUGAUAAAGAGUUGACAAGAGCAGGCGUAAAAGAAAAGGGACAUCUCUGAAUCUCUGCCAUCAAAAAAUCAAAACCUCUUUAUAUAUUCAGAGAUAUUGCUUCUGCUGCAAAAAAGGCACCAUCUUUCAAUGGAUACGUAAGCUAUGCUCUCAAAAAAAGAUAAGUAGGAAACAGGGAGUUGUUCAAACUAGAAAAUCAAACUAACCAUCACAGUUUGAGCUCUUGUAGAGGGCAAUUAAAUUGGAAAAAGGGUUAGGUUUUCUUUCAAGAAAUACAGAGAAGUGAUUGACCUUGGAGCUGACUAUUGAGAGCUUAUCUGCCAGAAUCCCCUUUUCUUUGCAUUUUUAAUGAAAGAUCUUAUGAGAAAUUCUUGCGCCCAUUAUUAAAAGAAUUAGAAACCCUACUCCAGCAUUUCCUAUAAAUAUAAGAGAGGGUGAAUAGAGCAAAAAAAACUCAACUCAACAAUCAAUCAAACAACCAAAAAAUCAACCAAAGACAAAAACUCAAAAUGAUCACUUGAUCUCUGAGAACCUUCAAACAAAACGGAGCAACCAAAAACUCAUUUUA
rnacentral:lncRNA from 1 species